UGGGGAAUAUUGGACAAUGGGCGAAAGCCUGAUCCAGCCAUGCCGCGUGAGUGACGAAGGCCUUAGGGUUGUAAAACUCUUUCGUCGGGGACGAUAAUGACGGUACCCGAAGAAGAAGCUCCGGCUAACUUCGUGCCAGCAGCCGCGGUAAUACGAAGGGAGCUAGCGUUGUUCGGAAUCACUGGGCGUAAAGCGCACGUAGGCGGAUAGUUAAGUCAGGGGUGAAAUCCUGGGGCUCAACCCCAGAACUGCCUUUGAUACUGGCUGUCUCGAGGUCGAGAGAGGUUGGUGGAAUUCCUAGUGUAGAGGUGAAAUUCGUAGAUAUUAGGAAGAACACCAGUGGCGAAGGCGGCCAACUGGCUCGAUACUGACGCUGAGGUGCGAAAGCGUGGGGAGCAAACAGGAUUAGAUACCCCGGUAGUCCCUGAGCGGGCUGGCAAGGCG
rnacentral:rRNA from 1 species